rnacentral:rRNA from 1 species
UAUUGGACAAUGGGCGAAAGCCUGAUCCAGCAAUGCCGCGUGUGUGAAGAAGGCCUUCGGGUUGUAAAGCACUUUAAGGGGGAGGAAGGUUCGCUGGUUAAUACCCAGCGGAAUUGACGUUACCCCCAGAAUAAGCACCGGCUAACUCCGUGCCAGCAGCCGCGGUAAUACAGAGGGUGCGAGCGUUGUCCGGAAUCACUGGGCGUAAAGGGCGCGUAGGUGGCUCUAUAAGUCGGGGGUGAAAUGCUGCGGCUCAACCGCAGCGCUGCCUUCGAGACUGUAGGGCUCGAGCACGGUAGAGGCCGAUGGAAUUCCCGGUGUAGCGGUGGAAUGCGUAGAGAUCGGGAAGAACACCAAUGGCGAAGGCAGUCGGCUGGGCCGUUGCUGACACUGAGGCGCGACAGCGUGGGGAGCAAAC